AGCCAAGCUGCAAGAGCAAUUAAUUUGUAAUCAAUAGGUCUGCGGUUCGACUCCGUGCGGGGGCACCA
rnacentral:tRNA from 1 species